CCUACGGGGGGCAGCAGUGGGGAAUAUUGGGCAAUGGAGGCAACUCUUACCCAGCAAUGCCGCGUGAAUGACGCAGGUCUUCGGAUUGUAAAGUUCUUCAAUUGGGGACGAAAAAAAUGACGGUACCCAAGGAAUAAGCCCCUGAUACCUACGUGCCAGCAGCCGCGGUAAUACGUAGGGGGCAAGCGUUGUUCGGGAUGACUGGGCGGAAAGGGGGUGUAGGCGGGGUAGCAAGUUAGAAGGGAAAUCCCUAAGGCUUAACUCAUGUGCGGCUUCUAAAACUGCUAUACUUGAGUGCAGUAGAGGAAAGGGGAAUUCCUAGUGUAGCGGUGGAAUGCGUAGAUAUUAGGAGGAACAUCAGUGGCGAAGGCGACUUUCUGGACUGUAACUGACGCUGAGGCACGAAAGUGUGGGGAGCAAACAGGAUUAGAUACCCCUGUAGUC
rnacentral:rRNA from 1 species